AUUUCUUAAACUAUACGUCACACAUAUAUCGGCACACUUGUCUGGGUGCCCUAGCUGUUAAAGCGGGGUUGGCUUGUGGGAUAUAUGGAGGCCUAAC
rnacentral:sRNA from 1 species